rnacentral:rRNA from 1 species
UACGUAGGGUGCAAGCGUUAAUCGGAAUUACUGGGCGUAAAGCGUGCGCAGGCGGUGAUGUAAGACAGAUGUGAAAUCCCCGGGCUCAACCUGGGAACUGCAUUUGUGACUGCAUCGCUGGAGUGCGGCAGAGGGGGAUGGAAUUCCGCGUGUAGCAGUGAAAUGCGUAGAUAUGCGGAGGAACACCGAUGGCGAAGGCAAUCCCCUGGACCUGUACUGACGCUCAUGCACGAAAGCUAGGGGAGCGAACGGG